rnacentral:tRNA from 1 species
AGUCUUAUAUUCAAAUAAUGAUAUAAAAUUGCAAAUUUUAAGGUGUAAUAAUACUAAGGCUU